rnacentral:rRNA from 1 species
UGGCUAAGGUUAAUUUCUGUGCUAUGAACGGAACAAGCGAAGGGGAGAGGGGGCGCCUUCUUUGGGUUGGGAUCGGAGGCUCCAGCUCAGAGGCCGCUGGGAAGCCGUCGUGGCGCUCGGAGAGGACCUCGACAGGGCGACGUUUAGCCUUCGCGCUCGCAACUCCUCCUCCUCCACAACCAGCCGCUAAAUGACUAAAACCCUUCGCCCCCUCCUACCCCAGCAGCAGGUUCCACCACGCCGGCCUCCUCCACGACCUCAGCGACUUCUUGCUGCCGUGGCAGCUGCGCGAGGCGUACUUCUAGUAGCGGGUCGAGUUCCGGCUGCUCCUGUACUUCUUUUUAUGAUACUACUACCACCUCGUUUCGUUUCAAGACUUCUGAGGACCUCGACUCUUUUUCUGGUUCUCCCUCGACAAACUACGAGAAUCUGUUCUUAACCUUUGAGGCCAAGAACUCUUUCGGAGUUUCCGUCAAACCCUCGACUAUGAGCUGUUACCACCUGAUCCCUUUCUCUAGUGACUCUGUCAACUCUUUCAGAAGACGGCCGAGUCGCCUUAACUACACUACGGUGGAGGUCGAAGUUGUAGGCCACGAGGAGUUCUCUUUGUCUGUUUAUACCGACAUCUCCUCCCAGUCUUCCUAUACCUUUACCUACGGAGACUUGGUAGCAGAAGGAGUUCCUUCUCCGGAAAGUCACUGUAGUCACACUUUCGUCGUCCACGAUAUGGUUUGCCACCGCGAUGUAUGGUCGUACUGCUAGUGCUCCUGUCCUUGAUCCUCUAGACCCGCACAGCACCCGUUCGUAAGCCCACUAAGACCCCUCUCACACACGAGACAACGUAGUCACCUUUUAGAAUACGCUGUCCCUAGUUAGCUACGAUGACGCCGCAACAGAGGACAACAACCUGGCUGCUUCUUCACUCGACCACGCGUAACGUACCCUCCCUGGUUCCUACCACGUUUAUUCCCUGAUCUACCUGAGUACGACUUCCGCGUGUGACCUACUAGAGAGGGAGGACGCACUCCUACAGUAAGACAUUAUCCUGUCUGGAAUGAAUCUAGGGAACUACGUGCGACCUACACAACGGCUUAGUUAACGAGAAUCAUCAACAUCAAACGUAUAUCAGACCGGACGAUGAAACCACUCCGAGCUCACGAUAGUAAUACAAAACCAAACGAUAAGAGACAAAAUACGUUAUUUUACCUCUCCCCCCUUUUGGGGAAAACAAAGUUUUUUUAUGUCACUGUU